rnacentral:lncRNA from 1 species
ACUAUCUCAAAGAUUAAUAGAGGGGUAAAAUGCAAUGUUACCCUACUCUUGUUUAAUAGGUUUCCUCGAAUUAAUUGUCUUAAAUUUGACGAAUUAACUUCCACUACAUCCAAAUUCAAGUCCAUUUGCUGUGCUGUGAGUGAAUUGGAGAGAGAUGAGAAGGGGGAAAAUUGCCCCAGAUGCAAUGAAGCGAGCAAGAGGAGCGAGAAAGGAGACUCGAAAUCCCUCAAUGCCUAUUUCAAGCAGAGGAAGACACGAACAGAAGACUUCAAAUGCCGGGAUCUUGAAGGAGAAAAUCAGGAACAAAUAAGAGAAUCGGGAAAUGAAAAUAAGGGCAAGCCGGGAAAAGGGUUCUUCGCUUGCUAUCUGCUAACCUCUCUCAGCCAUCGUCAUAAAGGCCACACCUAUAUCGGGUCUGAUUCUACUGUUCUCUUCCUAUAUUAAUAUUUUACCUCAUCCUCACCGUGUUUCUUUCUUAUAUCAACAUUAUGGAUGCUAAUGCUUCUUUUUUUUGCCGUCAAAGAUUGAUCUUUUCUUUUUUGGCAAGAUAUAUUUUCCAAUUUUACCUCUAAGGUUCAGCUUCAUGAUUCUGUACUUCUCACUCGAGUGUUUUGAAUGGUACAUGUACCAAGGCUUUUAUUAGAUUCGUAUUUACACCCUUUGAGGUUUAUCUGAGAAAAUUCAAUUUUAACUCGACGUUUACUUGGUUAUGAUCUUUAAAUUCAAAUUUCGUUUUUUUCCCUUCAAAUUUACCGUGUAGUUUCUUUUCUGGUUCAUGUUUGAUUCGUUACCACUUACCAUGAACAAAUUGAUGCUACUAUCUAUGUGGCUUAAUAAGUCAUUUAAAUAAUAUCAGCUUGCAGUUGUUUUCUUUUGCUAUGAGGUUCUCUAGUAAAAAAUUCAAGCUGACCAAACAGUUUGCAGUUUGAACUAUUUAUCUAACGGCAGUGUUGCCCAAUUUCUGAUUUACUGUGAACCCACUGCGUUGAAUAAGACAGCACAAUGGGGAAAUAGGGAGUGGUGCUUGGAGGACAAAGAGCCGACGCCCGUGGGAAAUGGUUAUGUUCAUUUAUGGUUUUCCAACCAAUGUAUCUGCUCUUCAGGUCAUAUAUAUAAUAUAUAUUUUAUAUUUUAUAUUUUAUAUAUAGUCUAUAACAUGGUUGUAUUUGAAUCUGUUGCAUCACCUUUUGGGCUUAGUAGAAAUCUGUCAGAUUAUUCUUGAAAUGCCAUUUAUAUGACUAUGAAUUGGUCUAUCUCGCAAGUCUCAUCAUUUAGCGCUUGUUGAUUUUCUUGUAUACAUGCGCUCAGGAUCCUAGCUUGCUUCUUGUAACAAGGAAAUUUGUUGGGCUCUACAGCUAUAUUCUACCUUGAGUUUUCAUGCAUUUGUAUCAUCUUUUUUAUUCUCAUUGUAUUUGGUUAACUUAUUCCAGCGACUGCAGCAGAGUAUCUUCUCACUCUAGAAGAUGAGCUUGUGCCUGCGCUCACCAUCAAGGACUCUGUCGCUUCUCCCUUGCCUUACAAGUGUUUUCUCACGUGCUUUCUCAGCUCUUCUCCUCCAUUUUGGCAGGAAAACCUGAGUCACGGUUCGCUUUCCUUUGAUUUUCUUCUCAGAAAACUGUUUUGUUAACCUUUAUUAACUUGAAA